AUAAGUCAUUAUAAGACUUAGGUACAAUUGCCGCCGCUCUGAAGAACCGGAUUGUUGCUUACCAAAAAUUUUGCUAUUAAAAUAAGAAAAGUGAUGAAUAUUUAGCAACAUUUAUUUAACUUAUGAAUUAGUUAGUAUAAUUCAAAGUCGGAUGAGAUCAUCCAGUGAGACGAACACUAAACUUUUGACAUUGACGAUUUGAUAAAUAGCCAAACCGCUUAUACCUAUUGCAACCUAUUUUAAGCAUAGUUACUUAUUCUCAUAAGAAUACGCUAAUUCUUGUCUUGAGAUGCAUCCGUAAUUCUAAAUGCUGCGGGAUAGUUCGAAAGAGUUACCGCGGCCUUGGUACAUAUAGGGCUUGAGAAGGAACAUGAUGAGUUUAGUCAGUACGAGUCUGACACUCCCUCACGCUACAACAGCAGAAUGGAGGCAUUUUAAUGAUUUCCCUCAUAACAAAAAAAAAACGGAUAUGUCCAUAUGUACUGAAUAUGAUAAUUUGGUCAGGUCACGAGUUUGAUAGUGGUCACGUUUUUAGUAUUACGAAUGUUUAUUUUGAAUACUGCUACUGGCCUUUAUUAUUGACCUAGAUUAGAUUAGAAUUUCAGAAGCUGUGACAGACGUAAAUUAAAGAUAGCUCGAAAUAAUCUGGACAGUCUGACGUUGGUUUAUCGACAAUUCGCUGUUUAUAUUCGAAGUUAGGGUCGUAAUGUAGUCUUAUUCCCUCUUAUUAUAAAACGCGGUAUCAAAUAAGUAUCGGCUUUUGUACUACCUUUAAUCCACCUUUAAGUACGACCUUGAAAAAACGUUAUUACAAAACGCAGUUUAUCGCAAGUCCUAUUACUAUCUGUAGUACAAAAGAUAAACCAUCGAGCCCCCUAGUUUAACUGCAGUACUUAGUCGACAAACGUCAAAUUCCGACAUUAUUUACUUUUGAGGUUAUUUGUUCUGUGAUGAAAAAAACGAAAGUGGAUAUAAAUAUGUGUGAUUUGGAAUACUUGGAUGUAUUAGAAUACUAUUGAGAGUGUCCGGGGACCCAACAGAAUGCGUCAUCGACAAAAUCUCUUCAAAUUACCUGACGACAAUUUUCGAUAUAAAUAUCGAUUUACGUUUUUCGAAAUAAUAGUCAAUUGAAUGCAUGAUGAUAAUCCAGGAUGAUCCUAUGAUGCUCAACUGGGCUCGCCAUAAAAUUCAAGACUAUUUUGGCGUUUUGCACGCCGUAUCUCUGCCAGUAAUAUGCAAUGUUUGUAAAAGACUGGAAGCUUGCUAAAAUGUACAAAAAUGCCUAGAUGAGAAAGGGAACAAGAUUGUGUGAUGAAGAACAGUGUCCAACAUGUAUCAGUGCAUUUGACUGUAUAAAUAGACAUCGGAAUAAAAUAUAAUUUUCUACU